ACCAAAAUCCAAAUAUUCAAACCAAACAACUGAGCUCUCUUUCCCGCUCCUCCGCGCCGGCGUCGUCUUCGGCGGCGGAGGAGCUCCUAACCACUAUCCCAUCAUAUCAAACCCUCCGUCUCAACUUGCUAAACCUAAACCCAACCACGAAAUCUCCUAAUUCCUAAACCCCUAAACAAAUCGAAGAAAAGAACAAACGAACCCUAACCUAUUGAUUCAAACAUUAAAUGGUGAUGGGAAAGAAUCAAAGCCUCAAACCAGAGGGAUUUGAUUCCCUAGAAAUGGAUAUACAUUGUGGUAUGUAGAACAUGGGCAACUGAUGAAGUUGCAAACUACCUCGCCAAAGAAGACGACCGGAGAAGACACGACGACAACAAAGGUUAAUUAUGGAAGGCUGCAGGUUGUGUUGUGCUAACUGGUUUGCAUUGUUUUCAUGGUAAGUUUACUUGAUGGGAAUGCAAGGCUAGGUUUGGUUUGAAACUGUUGCAGAAUUGCUGCAGGUUAUGAUGGGCUACUUAGCACAUUGCUUUGUGAUGUUGCAGCAGGUGAAUUGUUGGGUGGUGUGUAGGCCUGUUGGAAUUGUUUGGAAUGUUUGCAAGUUGGUAGAAACUAAUGUGGUUUUGCUUUGUAUGUUUGUCAUCGCAUAAGGUUGCUGAUGGGAAUGCAAGGCUGCUCAUUGUCGUCAUUGUUGUUAUUGUUGUUGUUGUUGUUGUUGUUGUAUGUCCAAGUGGAGCUUCACGUAGCAAGGCCAAGUGGAAGUGGUGAAGUAUCAUGGAGGCAUUAGGGCAAAGGGCAACAAGACUCUCUUUUCAUUUUGAAAUCAAAACAAAGUAUUAGGCCUUGUAGCAUGUCAUGUAGUUAGUAUAUAAGAUAGAAUGCAAUGUAUUAGUAUGAUGGUCCAUGUUGUAUGCUUGUAGAUGAAAACAAAAAUCUCACUUAGGAUCAUGCUUAUGUAAUGGAAUCAAACCAAAUAUGAUUAAUUAUAAAAUGGUAAAUCAAAGUUUAA